CCCUUAGAUGUCCGGGGCUGCACGCGCGCUACACUGACUGGCUCAGCGUGUGCCUACCCUACGCCGGCAGGCGCGGGUAACCCGUUGAACCCCAUUCGUGAUGGGGAUCGGGGAUUGCAAUUAUUCCCCAUGAACGAGGAAUUCCCAGUAAGUGCGGGUCAUAAGCUUGCGUUGAUUAAGUCCCUGCCCUUUGUACACACCGCCCGUCGCUACUACCGAUUGGAUGGUUUAGUGAGGCCCUCGGAUCGGCCCCGCCGGGGUCGGCCCACGGCCCUGGCGGAGCGCUGAGAAGACGGUCGAACUUGACUAUCUAGAGGAAGUAAAAGUCGUAACG
rnacentral:rRNA from 1 species